CUCUGCUCUCUAAACCCAAUCGUCCCAUUCUUGCUCCCGCUGACCAGGCUGUCCAGCUGCCUGUGUCUAUCAGUGAGUAAAAGAUUCUGUAAAUAAAGAUGCAAAUGUAAGUGGAGAAGACUCCAUUCAUUUCUGACUGACUUUUUUGGAGCCAAGAUUUCACCCCAGUCUUCACAGUUAUGACAUUUGGUGUUCAAUCUGGCCUCUUCCAGCAGAAUAUUCAGUCUGUGCUCCUUGCAAUUAUGCCGUGUUUGCAUCACACCAUAACAAGUGUGCUACAAGAGUUUCACGCACUGGAAUCUACCACACGCCAGAACCCUAUGGUAGAAAUAAACUGAAGAAGGUCAAUUAAUUGAAAAUGUGGUUGUAUAUCUGAAGAACUGGAUGUGUAAAAUGAAGCAGCUGAAGAAAAGGACUACACUUCCAUAUACUAUUCAGUACUAGAAGUGAGGACUAGUAAUCAUGGCCUACGUUUUCUACCUCUCUGCAGGUUUGCCACUUUGAGGGAGCUACAUCCUGCUUAUGUCCUGCUGUCGUGGUUUAACCCCAGCUGGCAAAUCCAAAACGUAGCACAUGCCAGAUACUAUGAAGCAAUUAACUCUAUUCCAGCCAAAACUACCACAUCUGCUUUAUUCUCCUCUCAUUUCUAAGAAAAUGCUACCACUGAGCACAUUUCUUCUAUGUAUAGGAGUCUCCUUGCUCCUUUCCAAACCAAAGGGUUCACUAAGUAAUUAUUGCAUGACUACUCUGAUUUCAAAUAGGCAUGCUAAUAAAAGCUAAUGUAAGUCAGGGCACUUUCUCCUUGGAUUCACAGGCUGUGUCCAGAAUGAAAUAACUUGUCACGCCCAAGAUUGUAAUGCUAGCUUCCAAGUUCCCAGACUCAAGUGACCUAGCAGGACAGAGCCACAAACCUCCACGCUAACACAUCUGCACCAGGUGCAGACUCAGAGAAGGGACUGAUUCUGUAAGUAGCAUCGGCUUCUUGAAUGGUGUACGUGUGCAUUGAGGAGCCACAAAAGCUGUUGUUUUGAUAGUUUACACUGUCCUUGUGCACUUGUGAGUUGUUCUUCAAAUUUCUUGGAGCCAUUAGUAGGCAGCAGGCUGGCAGCCUACCCACAUGCAUGGUGAGGUGAAUCACCCAUCCUCCAAAGACAACACACAAAGACUAUCAAGAGAUAACUGUGGAGUAAACUGGAGGUCACCACCAAGCUUUCUUGCGAAUGAAAUGAGUAAGGUAUUACACUCACUUUAAAGCUUCUCAUUUUCCAGACAUCUUGUUCAAUGUUCUACAAGCAAUGAGAAAGCUUUUUACCAUAGCGAAUUCCACAUGUCUCAGGCAAUGCAUUUGAUUUCACCAAAACCCCAUUACAAUUGGGUUUACCAAUUCGAUCCAUUUUCAAACACUUUUGGUUAAAGAUUUGUAACCUAUAUUGCCAAUAACUUUAAGAUUAUCUGACAAACAAAACUCAUCAACA